GGAGAUCUAGAUUCACCAGUGAAAGCUGAUGAUGUCAGUGGCCGCUGCUGCUUCGGAGCUUGGGUGCUCAGGCGGGGAUGCACCUGUAGGAUCAUGGCCGCUCUUGUAGAUGGGUGAAGUUAAUGGCUUCCACUCCUGCGGGGACUUCUUCUCACCCGCGCCGUUGCACCUGCGAUGAAUGUCCACCAAAUAACAAUUGCAAAGUGUUUUAAAGCUUCUUUAUCUUUCAUUUUCUAAGUCUUAGAAGACUUAUUUCCUCCAUUGUUGAAGCUCG
rnacentral:lncRNA from 1 species